ACACAAAUGGGUGUCUACACUAGUGCUAUAUCCAUCACCUUUAAUCACCUUGAUACUCCAGACGUUUCUACUCCUCUUCCUCACUUUAUAAUUCACUUUAACUUUUAUAUCCUCUUAAUCUUUGAUAUUAUCUAUUUGCUUCUUUGAUUAUUUUUUUCAAAUAAACAAAAAAAAAAAAAAAAAAUUAAGCAACAACCACCUUCCCUCUAGUGUCGUUCGAUGCAACUUCACGCCUCUUAAUGGCUCAAUUUGAGUGUCUAAAUUGCAAGAUCUGAAGCAUAAUAAUACUUUGUAUGUUUUAAGAGUAUACUUUUUGUAUGAAUUUUUUCUUUUCUUUUUGCUUGGAUUUUGACUUUGAAUGAUAACUCAUUUCCGAAAACAGAUUCAGAGAUUGAAUUGGAUGAAGAUGGCAAAUAAAAGUUUAUGAGAAGAAAGAUAUAGAUAUAUAAUUAUAUGUACUCAUCUUAAGUUAGUUUUAUGUAACCAAAGAAUUGCAAGUUUAUAAAUUGCAAAUAUUUGGUAUAUUUGAAUGCUAUAUUUGUUGUACUUUUAUGAAGUGUGAUUGUAUAACUUGUUGAAGCAAGUAUGAAAAGUUGUAUGAUAUAUCUUGAAUUGUACUUU